rnacentral:tRNA from 1 species
CAAGGAGUAGUUUAAUUAGAAUGUCAGCUUUGGGUGUUGAUGGUGGGGUUAGUGUAGUAUCCUCUCCUUGA